CCUACGGGAGGCAGCAGUGAGGAAUAUUGGUCAAUGGACGAGAGUCUGAACCAGCCAAGUAGCGUGAAGGAUGACUGCCCUAUGGGUUGUAAACUUCUUUUAUAUGGGAAUAAAACGUUCCACGUGUGGGAUUUUGUAUGUACCAUAUGAAUAAGGAUCGGCUAACUCCGUGCCAGCAGCCGCGGUAAUACGGAGGAUCCGAGCGUUAUCCGGAUUUAUUGGGUUUAAAGGGAACGUAGGUGGAUUGUUAAGUCAGUUGUGAAAGUUUGCGGCUCAACCGUAAAAUUGCAGUUGAAACUGGCAGUCUUGAGUACAGUAGAGGUGGGCGGAAUUCGUGGUGUAGCGGUGAAAUGCUUAGAUAUCACGAAGAACUCCGAUUGCGAAGGCAGUUCACUGGACUGCAACUGACACUGAGGCUCGAAAGUGUGGGUAUCAAACAGGAUUAGAUACCCCUGUAGUC
rnacentral:rRNA from 1 species